rnacentral:rRNA from 1 species
AGGGUUCGAUUCUGGCUCAGGAUGAACGCUGGCGGCGUGCCUAACACAUGCAAGUCGAACGAGCGAGAGAUGAAACCUAGUGAUUUCGAGCGAGUGGCGGACGGGUGAGUAACGCGUGGGUAACCUGCCUUACAGAGGGGGAUAACAGUUUGAAAAGACUGCUAAUACCGCAUAAGCACACAGUACCGCAUGGUACAGGGUGAAAAGAUUUAUCACUGUAAGAUGGACCCGCGUCUGAUUAGCCAGUUGGCAGGGUAACGGCCUACCAAAGCGACGAUCAGUAGCCGACCUGAGAGGGUGAUCGGCCACAUUGGGACUGAGACACGGCCCAAACUCCUACGGGAGGCAGCAGUGGGGGAUAUUGCACAAUGGAGGAAACUCUGAUGCAGCGAACCGCCGCGUGAGUGAAGAAGUAUUUCGGUAUGUAAAGCUCUAUCAGCAGGGAAGAUAAUGACAGUACCUGACCAAGAAGCCCCGGCUAACUACGUGCCAGCCGCAGC